GGAGGCGGAGGAGGAGGAGGUGCUGAGCCCGGAACCGCUGCCGCUCAGCGGGCCCGGAGGGAAGGAAGGCGCACGACACAGGGUCCUUCCGAGCUUCCCCAUGGUCCAUGUGAGCUGCAGCUCCGAAGAACGCCAUCUACCUUCUGCCUGCCCCUUCAUGGAGUGUCAGGUGGUGAGGCCGCCGCGCUGGUGCGCGCAUUACACGGCUGGUCGGUGGUGCGGACCCUGGUGGUGCACAUGGGGGUUCCCAGACAGCAAGUUUGUCUUUGGCAAGGGAAACUACCCAGCUGACGGAGAAGACCAAGGAAUCUGUGGACAUCAUGUGUGUGUUUCUGAACGUGGAGAGGAUGACAGCUCUGACCAAGGUCUACCCUGAGCAGCGGGUCUGCCCGACUAGACCAGCUAGACCAGCAAGGAAGGGGCUUACGGUACAUCAUGGGGUCAGGAGAGUCAUCCACAGAGCGAAGCCAAUGGGCACUGAAGGAGAAGGAGGCAAAGGUCAGGGCGUACUAAGAUGGAGUGUGCUUGCAGCACAAGUUCCCCAUUGUGUCUGUUGUCGGCUACACUAACUGUGGCGAGGGUCCUCAAGCAGCAGCACUACAUCUCAGCACUGGGUAUGCGUAGGGAAAACCACACUCAUCAAGGCCCUGACCAGGGAGGCCACCAUGCAACUGUGUGACCAUCUGUUCACAACCCUAGAUGUCACGGUACACACGGGGUUGCUGCCCUCGUGCAUGCCCGUCAUCUACAUGGCUUUCUGUCACAGCUGCCACACAGCCUGAUCCAGUCGUUCACCACGCUGGAGGAUGUGGUCCAUUUGCUACAGCCUCCCAGGACCCUGCAUCCUGACUGUGUCUGCACUCCUGGGCCAUGGGCUAGACAAGCUGAAGGCGACGCUGGAGGAAUCUGUUCUGCAGGCUACUGGCUGGCGGUGCUCACCCUCUGUUUACAGCUUGGGAGACCCCAGCUCUGCCUGCACCACCCUCUGCUCAUCACCAUGCACCACGCUGACAUCAGCACGCUUCCCAGAAUGCACCACGGUGGUUUCUCUGCAACUGGCAGUACAAGGAGGCCAAGGUGUAGCAGGUGCAGGAGCUGCCCAAGACUGACACCGCCCACAUGACCGUUAUCAUUAGCCAAGACACCUAUGGCCGAUUCCGGAAGCUGUUUCCUGAGUGACAGCCUGGAGCGGGAUGUGGAUACAGCUUGUAGCCAUGGUGUUGUCCCACCACUUUCUCCCUCCCAGCUGUUCCCUGAGUGACAACCAGGGCCAGAUGUGGAUUCAGCUCGUGGAAAGGUGUUUGUGGAUGGCCCCAUGUAGUCCUGCCCCUUCCUCCCAGCUGAUUCCUAAGUGACAACUGCAUAGAUGGACUGAGGACCUGAUAUGGGAAGUCAUGGCCACAUCAUAGUCCUGUCCCUUCCUCCCUCCCAGACUGACUGGCAGCUCAUUAAAGCGGAAUUUGCACUUUG